rnacentral:sRNA from 1 species
ACACAUACGAAUNGAGCGAGAAAGCCCGCAAGGGUGAGUACAGCGGCGCAUUUGUCCGUAACACGUGGGAAAACAACCUCGAAGUCUGGAAUAACUCCCCGAAAGGGGUGCUAAUGCCGGAUGAGACCACGGGAGCCCCGGCUCCCGAGGGAAAAGAUGGCCUCUGCAUGCAAGCUAUCGCUUCGAGAUGAGCCCGCGGCCCAUCAGCUCGUUGGCGGGGUAACGGCCCACCAAGGCUACGACGGGUAGCUGGUCUGAGAGGACGACCAGCCACACUGGGACUGAGACACGGCCCAGACUCCUACGGGAGGCAGCAGUGGG